AGUGAACGCUGGCGGUAGGCCUAACACAUGCAAGUCGAACGGCAGCACAGUAAGAGCUUGCUCUUACGGGUGGCGAGUGGCGGACGGGUGAGGAAUACAUCGGAAUCUACUUUUUCGUGGGGGAUAACGUAGGGAAACUUACGCUAAUACCGCAUACGACCUACGGGUGAAAGCAGGGGAUCUUCGGACCUUGCGCGAUUGAAUGAGCCGAUGUCGGAUUAGCUAGUUGGCGGGGUAAAGGCCCACCAAGGCGACGAUCCGUAGCUGGUCUGAGAGGAUGAUCAGCCACACUGGAACUGAGACACGGUCCAGACUCCUACGGGGGGCAGCAGUGGGGAAUAUUGGACAAUGGGCGCAAGCCUGAUCCAGCCAUACCGCGUGGGUGAAAAAGGCCUUCGGGUUGUAAAGCCCUUUUGUUGGGAAAGAAAAGCAGCAGGUUAAUACCCCGCUGUUCUGACGGUACCCAAAGAAUAAGCACCGGCUAACUUCGUG
rnacentral:rRNA from 1 species